CCUGCCCCUAGAGGGGUUGCAGAUGUAGCUGCUGUGUCACAUGUGCACCAGUAGGUAGCAGAGAGGAGAGAGCCUAUGUCUAGGCUCAGUGUUCUGACCUGAAAACAUCUGAAUGAUGAGUAGCCUAACAGU